UGAGUUUUUGGGGUUGUGUGUCUGUGUGUGUAUGUGUACACACACACACACACACACACACACUCAGGCACACACACAC
rnacentral:miRNA from 1 species